rnacentral:rRNA from 1 species
UACGGAGGGUGCGAGCGUUGUCCGGAAUCACUGGGCGUAAAGGGCGCGUAGGCGGCCUGAUAAGUAGGGGGUGAAAUCCUGCGGCUUAACCGCAGGGCUGCCUUCUAAACUGUCAGGCUGGAGCACAGUAGAGGCAGGUGGAAUUCCCGGUGUAGCGGUGGCAUGCGUAGAGAUCGGGAAGAACAUCAGUGGCGAAGGCGGCCUGCUGGGCUGUUGCUGACGCUGAGGCGCGACAGCGUGGGGGAGCAAACAGG